GGAAAAAUGCGUUUUAGUCUACAUCUAAACAUAAAUUAAGCAAGGAAGCCAAUUUGAAAAGUAAAAAAAAAUGCCGGCUCCAUGAUUAUUGAUUUUCCAUUUAUUAUUUUAUAAUUAACAUGAGAGUUGUUAUAGCUGGAGAGAUAUUCAAAGUACUAUAUUCGAAUGUUCAAUACAAUUUUAUAAUGAGUUUUGGGGCAAUAAAGCGUUAGUUUAAUGUAGAGUCGCAUCCAUGAGGCCUGCACAUGAGUAUUUACAAAAUCUAAAAGAUUGUAUGCUCCCGCGGGAUCAUUUCUACUUCGGAGUCCUAAAUUUUUGGGUAUGACCUCCUCAACAAAG
rnacentral:lncRNA from 1 species